rnacentral:rRNA from 1 species
GGAGGAAAGCAGGGGAUCGCAAGACCUUGCGCUCAUUGAGCGGCCGAUGCCUGAUUAGCUAGUUGGUGAGGUAAAGGCUUACCAAGGCGACGAUCAGUAGCUGGUCUGAGAGGACGACCAGCCACACUGGGACUGAGACACGGCCCAGACUCCUACGGGAGGCAGCAGUGGGGAAUUUUGGACAAUGGGGGAAACCCUGAUCCAGCCAUGCCGCGUGAGUGAAGAAGGCCUUCGGGUUGUAAAGCUCUUUCAGCCGGAACGAAGCAGUCACGGAUAAUACCCGUGACUACUGACGGUACCGGAAGAAGAAGCACCGGCUAACUACGUGCCAGCAGCCGCGGUAAUACGUAGGGUGCGAGCGUUAAUCGGAAUUACUGGGCGUAAAGCGUGCGCAGGCGGUUUUGUAAGUCAGAUAAGGAAUCCCCGGGCUUAACCUGGGAACUGCGU